rnacentral:rRNA from 1 species
GAGGAAGGUGGGGAUGACGUCAAAUCAUCAUGCCCCUUAUGUCUUGGGCUUCACGCAUGCUACAAUGGCCGGUACAAUGGGUUGCGAUACUGUGAGGUGGAGCUAAUCCCAAAAAGCCGGUCUCAGUUCGGAUUGGGGUCUGCAACUCGACCCCAUGAAGUCGGAGUCGCUAGUAAUCGCAGAUCAGCAACGCUGCGGUGAAUACGUUCCCGGGCCUUGUACACACCGCCCGUCAAGUCACGAAAGUCGGUAACACCCGAAGCCGGUGGCCUAACCCUUGUGGGGGGAGCCGUCGAAGGUGGGACCAGCGAUUGGGACUAAGUCGUAACAAGGUAGCGUACCGGAAGGUGCGGCUGGAUCACCUCCU